GGAGGAGAAGGGAGAUGAGGCUGCUUAUAUAGUGCUCUAUCCCUGGCGGUUUGUGCUUGAGACUUGGAGGCAAAGACUCCUAUUUUGGGGCUGCCAGCUCUACCUCUUUUGAGCUUGAAUAGGUCGCCACAUUUGGAGCAUGGUGAGGGUGGAAUCGAGAAGGAUGGGGAGAGAAGAGAAGAUCCUGAAUUGCAGCUCCUUUGAUCAAAGCAACUUAGUUUUUAUCUUGAGUUUAGCUACUACAAUUUCCGUAGAGUAGACCAUUAUUUUUUCCACUUUGAGAAGGGUCUCCCAUGUGCUUGAAUCCAAUUUGUUGUACUUUAGUAUACACAUGUGCAUUUCCUCACUUUUCUAAUAAAAGUAUUUUCUC